UAGACCCUGUGGGCUUCUCUAUUGGUGGGUCGAGAUAUAAGGAACGCACCCGCUUAAUUCCAUGAGGGCGUUGUUCCAUUUCUAGGUCUGCCUGGUAUCUUGGCAAGUGCGUGGCUCACCAGUGAGAGGCAGUGUGAUACUCUCUGGUGCUACACCUUCCACCGAGGCACAUGUUACAUACUGAGGUGUUGUCCCAUGACCGCAUCACUGAUGGGAUGAUAGGUUACCCUACCUCAGGUUUCUAUGAGUCAGAAUCUUGGAGCCAAUACCAGAAGUUCAUGAUCACGGAGGGUUUGUGUCUCCACAUCACUCUAGAGGGCUAUAUGAUCACCACGAGAGGAUCCCUUUUGCUUUUGCUAUUGUUGAUGCAUCGUCUUAGGCCACCUCCACUAAGCUUUCCGCGAGGCCUACGAGUGGAGCCGGGGCUCAAAGCAUCCCCAGGGUGAUGUGCCACUAGCUGGGGUUGUCCUCCCACGGUUCCUUGGUUGGGAUUUUUGGGGUGGGGGUGUUCGAAUCAGCAUCCCUCUUCCUAGGUUGCCUUUGAUUACGGUUCCCACCCCCAAUGCUUAUGCAACAAGUGUGACGGCCUCAGGUCAAUAAUCGAUGUAUAUGAGCAGUUAUUGAGGAAGGAGAUGGCUGCCCACCACACCACGAUAAUUCCCUCUUCUCUUCUUGUACUUGUACCUACACUGUUAGUUUUCUAUUGUACUAACACAAAAAUGUAUGCAUGCUGAAAGCAGAGCUAGAUGCUACAAGGCUGGAUAUCAUGGGCUAUCUAGCCACGAUCUGAAAGCUACGAGAGAGAAUCGACGUGGGCACCUCAGCUGCUAAUGGAGGGAGUGGGAAGGCUACCGUUGAGAAUGAUGAUUCAGCCUCCCGUUUGGAAGUGAGGAGGAGGGUAGCUCUGAAGAGGAUGCCAGGAGGGAGCAGAGGUCUAAGACUUAAAAGGACUCCGACUAGCUUUUUUUCUUUUUUGGUUGUUCAAAUUCACGACCACUCGGUCAUUUUUGAGAAACUUUUGAAAAUGUAUAAUCCAUUCAGUCAUUUUU